CUGCGAUAAGCGCCGGUAAGGUGAUAUGAACCGUUAUAACCGGCGAUACCCGAAUGGGGAAACCCAGUGUGAUUCGUCACACUAUCAUUAACUGAAUCCAUAGGUUAAUGAGGCGAACCGGGGGAACUGAAACAUCUAAGUACCCCGAGGAAAAGAAAUCAACCGAGAUUCCCCCAGUAGCGGCGAGCGAACGGGGAGGAGCCCAGAGCCUGAAUCAGCAUGUGUGUUAGUGGAAGCGUCUGGAAAGGCGCGCGAUACAGGGUGACAGCCCCGUACACAAAAGCGCAUGUGCUGUGAGCUCGAUGAGUAGGGCGGGACACGUGGUAUCCUGUCUGAAUAUGGGGGGACCAUCCUCCAAGGCUAAAUACUCCUGACUGACCGAUAGUGAACCAGUACCGUGAGGGAAAGGCGAAAAGAACCCCGGCGAGGGGAGUGAAAAAGAACCUGAAACCGUGUACGUACAAGCAGUGGGAGCACAGGUUUACCUGUGUGACUGCGUACCUUUUGUAUAAUGGGUCAGCGACUUAUAUUCUGUAGCAAGGUUAACCGAAUAGGGGAGCCGGAGGGAAACCGAGUCUUAAUUGGGCGUUAAGUUGCAGGGUAUAGACCCGAAACCCGGUGAUCUAGCCAUGGGCAGGUUGAAGGUUGGGUAACACUAACUGGAGGACCGAACCGACUAAUGUUGAAAAAUUAGCGGAUGACCUGUGGCUGGGGGUGAAAGGCCAAUCAAACCGGGAGAUAGCUGGUUCUCCCCGAAAGCUAUUUAGGUAGCGCCUCGUGAAUUCAUCUCCGGGGGUAGAGCACUGUUUCGGCUAGGGGGCCAUCCCGGCUUACCAACCCGAUGCAAACUGCGAAUACCGGAGAAUGUUAUCACGGGAGACACACGGCGGGUGCUAACGUCCGUCGUGAAGAGGGAAACAACCCAGACCGCCAGCUAAGGUCCCAAAGUCAUGGUUAAGUGGGAAACGAUGUGGGAAGGCCCAGACAGCCAGGAUGUUGGCUUAGAAGCAGCCAUCAUUUAAAGAAAGCGUAAUAGCUCACUGGUCGAGUCGGCCUGCGCGGAAGAUGUAACGGGGCUAAACCAUGCACCGAAGCUGCGGCAGCGAACGUAUCACCCAAGACAACUUUACGGAGUUGACGAUUGACGGAGCGAAGCGACGUCAAAGCGUUCAUUAAAGUCGAGUUGGCUUAGGGAUACGUUCGUUGGGUAGGGGAGCGUUCUGUAAGCCUGUGAAGGUGUGUCGUGAGGCAUGCUGGAGGUAUCAGAAGUGCGAAUGCUGACAUAAGUAACGAUAAAGCGGGUGAAAAGCCCGCUCGCCGGAAGACCAAGGGUUCCUGUCCAACGUUAAUCGGGGCAGGGUGAGUCGACCCCUAAGGCGAGGCCGAAAGGCGUAGUCGAUGGGAAACGGGUUAAUAUUCCCGUACUUGGUGUUACUGCGAAGGGGGGACGGAGAAGGCUAUGUUGGCCGGGCGACGGUUGUCCCGGUUUAAGCGUGUAGGUGUGUGUUCCAGGUAAAUCCGGUUCACUUUAACACUGAGGCGUGACGACGAGGCACUACGGUGCUGAAGCAACAAAUGCCCUGCUUCCAGGAAAAGCCUCUAAGCAUCAGGUAACACGAAAUCGUACCCCAAACCGACACAGGUGGUCAGGUAGAGAAUACCAAGGCGCUUGAGAGAACUCGGGUGAAGGAACUAGGCAAAAUGGUGCCGUAACUUCGGGAGAAGGCACGCUGACACGUAGGUGAAGUGAUUUACUCAUGGAGCUGAAGUCAGUCGAAGAUACCAGCUGGCUGCAACUGUUUAUUAAAAACACAGCACUGUGCAAACACGAAAGUGGACGUAUACGGUGUGACGCCUGCCCGGUGCCGGAAGGUUAAUUGAUGGGGUCAGCGCAAGCGAAGCUCCUGAUCGAAGCCCCGGUAAACGGCGGCCGUAACUAUAACGGUCCUAAGGUAGCGAAAUUCCUUGUCGGGUAAGUUCCGACCUGCACGAAUGGCGUAAUGAUGGCCAGGCUGUCUCCACCCGAGACUCAGUGAAAUUGAACUCGCUGUGAAGAUGCAGUGUACCCGCGGCAAGACGGAAAGACCCCGUGAACCUUUACUAUAGCUUGACACUGAACAUUGAGCCUUGAUGUGUAGGAUAGGUGGGAGGCUUUGAAGUGUGGACGCCAGUCUGCAUGGAGCCGACCUUGAAAUACCACCCUUUAAUGUUUGAUGUUCUAACGUGGACCCGUAAUCCGGGUUGCGGACAGUGUCUGGUGGGUAGUUUGACUGGGGCGGUCUCCUCCUAAAGAGUAACGGAGGAGCACGAAGGUUGGCUAAUCCUGGUCGGACAUCAGGAGGUUAGUGCAAUGGCAUAAGCCAGCUUGACUGCGAGCGUGACGGCGCGAGCAGGUGCGAAAGCAGGUCAUAGUGAUCCGGUGGUUCUGAAUGGAAGGGCCAUCGCUCAACGGAUAAAAGGUACUCCGGGGAUAACAGGCUGAUACCGCCCAAGAGUUCAUAUCGACGGCGGUGUUUGGCACCUCGAUGUCGGCUCAUCACAUCCUGGGGCUGAAGUAGGUCCCAAGGGUAUGGCUGUUCGCCAUUUAAAGUGGUACGCGAGCUGGGUUUAGAACGUCGUGAGACAGUUCGGUCCCUAUCUGCCGUGGGCGCUGGAGAACUGAGGGGGGCUGCUCCUAGUACGAGAGGACCGGAGUGGACGCAUCACUGGUGUUCGGGUUGUCAUGCCAAUGGCACUGCCCGGUAGCUAAAUGCGGAAGAGAUAAGUGCUGAAAGCAUCUAAGCACGAAACUUGCCCCGAGAUGAGUUCUCCCUGAGACUUAG
rnacentral:rRNA from 1 species